rnacentral:lncRNA from 1 species
GCCCAUUGACAAACAAUUGACACACCUUUCAUUACUGUAAACUACCACAUCAAGCUUUUAGUCAACAUCAUAAUUAACCUCAUAUCAGGGUGGAUUAAGGGGUCCUAGUUCUGUACAUUUUAGGAAUCUUUUUCAGUAAUCAUGGUGUUUUACAAAUAUUGUAUGGUAAACAUUGGACUUGGUCUAACAGGCCUGCAUAACUGAAAAUAGGAAGUAAAUCAGAGAAAUGUUAGAAAUUCAUCAAGCAUGUACAAAAAUGUGGUUUA